CAGGGGUAAAGUUUGGAUGAUUCCCACAAAGGAAGAUCUUGAGCGCUUCAUCUUUUGAGUAUGCACAUCUUACCCUCUCUCCUACCCUAUUGGCGGGUCCUUAUGAAUGGCUUAGUUAUAAAGAGGCGUAUGAUUCAACGCUUCAAAUCGGCUCAGCUAUUAGGAAAUGUGGAGUUAAUCCCGUAUUUCCAGCCAAGUAGAUUGUGCUAUCAAGAUACUCAACCUAGAGAUUAAGUUGGAUUCCAUAGUUUGUAUAAUAAAAUAUCGUAAAGAGCUGGAGAAAUAUAUUUAGUUACUUUGGUACUAAGAAUUUGAUUUUUAAUCAUG